CAUCACCUGCUCCACCAACAUCCUCACCUCCUUCUCCCCCUACUGGUUCCACACCUUCACCCCCACAAUCUUCGCCCUCACCACCGCCACCCUCGACACCAUCCUCCCCAUCACCACCUUCAACAUCAACCUCUCCACCGCCACCUUCAACAACGACCUCUCCACCGCCACCUUCAACAACAACCUCUCCACCGCCACCUUCAACAACAACCUCUCCACCACCACCUUCAACAACAACCUCUCCACCACCACCUUCAACAACAUCACCAUCACCAC
rnacentral:lncRNA from 1 species